rnacentral:rRNA from 1 species
CCUACGGGUGGUUGCAGUAGGGAAUAUUGCUCAAUGGGGGAAACCCUGAAGCAGCAACGCCGCGUGGAGGAUGACUGUUUUAGGAUUGUAAACUCCUUUUUUUAGAGAAGUUUAUGACGGUAUCUAACGAAUAAGCAACGUCUAACUCCGUUCCAGCAGCCGCGGUAAUACGGAGGGUGCAAGCGUUAUUCGGAAUCACUGGGCGUAAAGAGUGCGUAGGCGGGGUAAUAAGUCAGAUGUGAAAUUCUGCAGCUUAACUGCAGAAUUGCAGUUGAUACUGUCAGUCUGGAGUUUAGGAGAGGUAGGUGGAAUUCGUGGUGUAGGGGUGAAAUGCGUAGAGAUCAAGAGGAAUACUGAUUGCGAAGGCGACCUGCUAAACCAUUACUGACGCUGAUGCACGAAAGCGUGGGGAGCAAACAGGAUUAGAUACCCGAGUAGUC